rnacentral:rRNA from 1 species
GACGAACGCUGGCGGCGUGCUUAACACAUGCAAGUCGAACGGAAAGGCCCUGCUUUUGUGGGGUGCUCGAGUGGCGAACGGGUGAGUAACACGUGAGUAACCUGCCCUUGACUUUGGGAUAACUUCAGGAAACUGGGGCUAAUACCGGAUAGGAGCUCCUGCUGCAUGGUGGGGGUUGGAAAGUUUCGGCGGUUGGGGAUGGACUCGCGGCUUAUCAGCUUGUUGGUGGGGUAGUGGCUUACCAAGGCUUUGACGGGUAGCCGGCCUGAGAGGGUGAACGGCCACAUUGGGACUGAGAGAUGGCCCAGACUGCUACGGGAGGCAGCAGUGGGGAAUAUUGCAGAAUGGGCGGAAGCCUGAUGCAGCAACGCUGCGUGCGGGAUGACGUCCUUCGGGUUGUAAACCGCUGUCGCCUGUGACGAAGCGUGAGUGACGGUAAUGGGUAAAGAAGCACCGGCUAACUACGUG